GGGCCGUUAGCUCAAUGGUAGAGCAAGUGACUCUUAAUCACUAGGUUCGGGGUUCGAGUCCCUGACGGCUCACCA
rnacentral:tRNA from 1 species